rnacentral:rRNA from 1 species
AGCGAACGCUGGCGGCAGGCCUAACACAUGCAAGUCGAGCGGGCGUAGCAAUACGUCAGCGGCAGACGGGAGAGUAACACGUGGGAACGUGCCCUAUGGUUCGGAAUAACUCAGGGAAACUUGAGCUAAUACCGGAUAAGCCCUUCGGGGGAAAGAUUUAUUGCCAUUGGAGCGGCCCGCGUCGGAUUAGCUAGUUGGUGAGGUAAUGGCUCACCAAGGCGACGAUCCGUAGCUGGUCUGAGAGGAUGACCAGCCUCACUGGGACUGAGACACGGCCCAGACUCCUACGGGAGGCAGCAGUGGGGAAUAUUGGACAAUGGGCGCAAGCCUGAUCCAGCCAUGCCGCGUGGAUGAUGAAGGCCCUAGGGUUGUAAAGUCCUUUUAACGGGGAAGAUAAUGACGGUACCCGUAGAAUAAGCCCCGGCUAACUUCGUGCCAGCAGCCGCCGUAA